UGAGUCGCAUGGCGCAGUCUGAUGGAGCACGCCGCGUGAGUGAUGAAGGCUUUCGGGUCGUAAAACUCUGUUGUUAGGGAAGAACAAGUGCUAGUUGAAUAAGCUGGCACCUUGACGGUACCUAACCAGAAAGCCACGGCUAACUACGUGCCACCAGCCGCGGUAAA
rnacentral:rRNA from 1 species